rnacentral:rRNA from 1 species
AUUGAACGCUGGCGGCAUGCCUUACACAUGCAAGUCGAACGGAUUGAAGGGGCUUGCUCCUUCAGUUAGUGGCGAACGGGUGAGUAAAGCAUCGGAACGUACCCAGUCGUGGGGGAUAACGUAGCGAAAGUUACGCUAAUACCGCAUACGAUCUGAGGAUGAAAGCGGGGGAUCGCAAGACCUCGCGCGAUUGGAGCGGCCGAUGUCGGAUUAGCUAGUUGGUGAGGUAAAGGCUCACCAAGGCGACGAUCCGUAGCUGGUCUGAGAGGAUGAUCAGCCACACUGGAACUGAGACACGGUCCAGACUCCUACGGGAGGCAGCAGUGGGGAAUUUUGGACAAUGGGGGAAACCCUGAUCCAGCCAUGCCGCGUGAGUGAAGAAGGCCUUCGGGUUGUAAAGCUCUUUCAGUCGGAAGGAAAAGGCUCCGGAUAAUACCUGGAGUUGAUGACGGUACCGACAGAAGAAGCACCGGCUAACUACGUGCCAGCAGCCGCAGUAA